rnacentral:rRNA from 1 species
CUCUUCGCUGACGAGUGGCGCACGGGUGAGUAACACGUAGAUAACCUACCCUUAAGUCUGGAACAACCUUUCGAAAGAAGGGCUAAUACCGGAUAAUACAAUUCGACUAGUGUUGGAUUGUUAAAAGUUUUUCGCUUUUGGAUGGGUCUGCGCACCAUUAGCUAGUUGGUAGGGUAAAGGCCUACCAAGGCUACGAUGGUUAGCGGGUUUGAGAGGAUGAUCCGCCACACUGGAACUGAGACACGGUCCAG